rnacentral:rRNA from 1 species
CCUACGGGAGGCAGCAGUGAGGAAUAUUGGUCAAUGGACGAGAGCCUGAACCAGCCAAGUAGCGUGAAGGAUGACUGCCCUAUGGGUUGUAAACUUCUUUUAUAUGGGAAUAAAACAGGGUAUGCAUACCCUCUUGUAUGUACCAUAUGAAUAAGGAUCGGCUAACUCCGUGCCAGCAGCCGCGGUAAUACGGAGGAUCCGAGCGUUAUCCGGAUUUAUUGGGUUUAAAGGGAGCGUAGGUGGAUUGUUAAGUCAGUUGUGAAAGUUUGCGGCUCAACCGUAAAAUUGCAGUUGAAACUGGCAGUCUUGAGUACAGUAGAGGAGGGCGGAAUUCGUGGUGUAGCGGUGAAAUGCUUAGAUAUCACGAAGAACUCCGAUUGCGAAGGCAGCUCACUGGACUGCAACUGACACUGAUGCUCGAAAGUGUGGGUAUCAAACAGGAUUAGAUACCCCAGUAGUC